rnacentral:tRNA from 1 species
UCCAAUAUGGUGUAACGGCUAACAUUACCGCCUUUCAUGAGAACGCGGUAGCUCGGGGUUCGAUUCCCCGUAUCGGAA